rnacentral:rRNA from 1 species
CCCCUAGAUGUUCUGGGCCGCACGCGCGCUACACUGAACAGUUCAACAAGUCUUAACCUUGGCCGAUAGGUCUGGGUAAUCUUUGAACGCUGUUCGUGAUUGGGAUAGACCUUUGCAAUUAUGGGUCUUCAACGAGGAAUUCCUAGUAAACGCAAGUCAUCAGCUUGCAUUGAUUACGUCCCUGCCCUUUGUACACACCGCCCGUCGCACCUACCGAUUGAAUGGUCCGGUGAAAUCUCGGGACGGCGGCUUGGUCGCUUGCGUCCGACUGCUGAAACUUGAUUAAACCAUAUGAUUCAGAGGAAGGUGAAGUCGUAACA